rnacentral:lncRNA from 1 species
ACCGCCUUUAGUUUUGAUCUUGACUGUGUGCACCUUCUCCAGUGAUGGUAUGUCAUCUUUCAGCUCUCUCACCACCUACUGAUAGGCGCAGCUCCUAGUCGGCUCUAAGCCGACUAUCAACUAUUCAUUGAAAAAAAAUCAUAACACAAUCUUUAAAUAUCUUUUGUUGACUUACUACUUACAUACCGCAACUCCAAAAUCUCUACCAUUUUUUCUGG